AAAAAAAUAUAUAUUUAUUUUAUAUGUUGGGCUGUUUAGUUUUAUUUAUCCAGGCAGUGGUGUAUCCUGGUUUUGUGCUGCCCUAGGCAGGACAAAACUCAGGCGCCCCCCCCCCCGCCACCCCACCCAACCCUUCCCCGCCCCACCUUCUAAAUACACACACACACAGUCAGACACAAAACACACACACACAGUCAGACACACACACACACACAGUCAGACACAUACACAGACAAACACAGUCAGACACAAACACACACACACACACAGUCAGACACAAACACACACACACACAGUCAGACACACACACACAGUCAGACACACAGACACAAACACACACACACAGACACACACACUCACAAACACACAAACACAGACACAAACACACACAGUCAGACACAUACAUACACACACACACACACACACAGUCAGACACACACACACACAGUCAGACACAUACACAGACACAAACACAGUCAGACACAAACACACACAUACACAGUCAGACACACACUCACAAACACAGACACAAACACACACAGUCGGACACACACACAGUCAGACACACACACACACACACACACAGACACAGUCAGACACAUACACAGACACACAGUCAGACACAUACACAGACACAUACACAGACACAAACACAGUCAGACACAAACACACACACAGUCACACACACACAGUCAGACACAAACACACACACAGUCACACACACACAGUCAGACACAAACACACACACUCACAAACACACAAACACAGUCAGACACACACACAAAUUAACUUUUUUUUUUUUUAUUUAAAUCCGCCCCCCAACCUCCUUACCUUUGGGAGUGCUGGGGGGGGUCUCUCUCCCUGGUGGUCCAGUGGCUGCAGGUCGGGCGGGCGGCGCUGGCAGGCGGGCGGCUGGCGAGCUCCCUCGCGCGCCGGCUGCAGAGUGAGGCUGGGAGCCGGAAGAUGACGUCAUCUUCCGGCUCCCAGCUUCACUCUGCGGCGCGCGAGGGAGCUGAGCAGAGAGCUCAUAGGAAGUGCUCCCUCGCCAGCCGCCCGCCUGCCAGCGCCGCCCGCCCGCUCGGGAUGUCAGUUAGCCGCAAGGCUAACUAGGCAUUUGCCCUGGGCAUUUGGGGGGCGGCAUUUUUUGCCGCCCCCUGAAAAAUGCCGCCCAAGGCAAAUGCCUUGUUUGCCUCGCGGCUAAUACGCCCCUGUAUCCAGGCCAAUUCAAUCUUUAUCAUGUAGAAGCAUUGGGAACCUAAGGAGCAUGUCAGGAGCAUCGCCUUCUUCUUUGAAUGAUCGUUUAGACCUAUUGGCUAUCUGAUUGACAGCUGGAGGGUGUAACUAAGGACUUUUAUAAAAGUGACAAUUUCUCUUGAAAUCAGCACUUAAGUAAAAUAAAACAUGGGAAAUCUCUAGUUUACCCCUAAAGCACAUGGGCAAACUGAAGUGCUUCAUUGAGCAGGAUGGUUAAUUUAACAAACUUUACAGCCAAUUGCAAACAACCAUAGGCAGACGGUUAACUCAGACCGCCACUUAAAGGACCACUAUAGGCACCCAGACCACUUCAGCUUAAUAAAGUGGUCUGGGUGCCUGGUCCAGCUAGGAUUAACCUUUUUUUUUAUAUAUAAACAUAGCAG